rnacentral:rRNA from 1 species
GACAGAGGGUGCGAACGUUGCUCGGAAUUACUGGGCGUAAAGCGCGUGUAGGCGGGUCGGUGUGUCAGGUGUGAAAUCCCCGGGCUCAACCCGGGAACUGCAUCUGAAACUGCCGGUCUUGAGUGACGGAGAGGGCAGCGGAAUUCCUGGUGUAGAGGUGAAAUUCGUAGAUAUCAGGAGGAACACCGGUGGCGAAGGCGGCUGCCUGGACGUCUACUGACGCUGAGACGCGAAAGCGUGGGGAGCAAACAGG